CCUACGGGAGGCAGCAGUGGGGAAUAUUGGGCAAUGGACGCAACUCUGACCCAGCAAAGCCGCGUGAAUGAUGAAGGUCUUCGGAUUGUAAAGUUUUUUUUUUAGGGAAGAAGAAAGUGACGGUACCUUAGGAAUAAGCCUCGGCUAACUACGUGCCAGCAGCCGUGGUAAUACGGAGGCGGCAAGCGUUAUCCGGAAUGACUGGGCGUAAAGGGUGCGUAGGUGGGUUGACAAGUUAGUAGUGAAACUCCGAGGCUGAACUUCGGAACUACAGCUAAAACUGGAGGACUUGAGUGCAGGGAGGGCAGUCGGAAUUCAUGGUGUAGCGGUGGAAUGCGUAGAUAUUAGGAAGAACACCAGUGGCGAAGGCGAAUGUCCGGACUGCAACUGACGCUGAGGCACGAAAGCGUGGGGAGCAAACAGGAUUAGAUACCCUUGUAGUC
rnacentral:rRNA from 1 species